GCAAGUUACAGUCUAAGCUGGCACAGUUCCGGGGACGAAACCCCUGAACUAGUUUAGUUUAAUACACACCCACAAAAUAAAAAUAUAUACCAGUGAAGCAAAGGCAGCCUGGAAUAUAACAAUUGUGUACACUUCACUCACACAAAAUGCAGGAAAAUGUCAACAGACAGUAAGAACAUGAAAGUCACAUUUGUAACACCGUCCACCGUCCACAUAGCUAUGAAUAGCCAACUCAUGUCAAAUUUGUAACACCGCCACCAUAGUUAAGAAUAGCCGACUCAGCAACACCAACCUUACUGGGGACGAGUCCUGCUGUUCUCUGCUGCUCUCACCUGAAGGAAAUAUGGAUGUGUCAUUGCUUCUCGUGCGGUAAGUCGAUCCUGAUGAUCAUAUCGAAGAAGCUUGUCAAGAAAAUCUAUUGCCUCUGGAGAAACUAGAUGCUGGUUAUCCGCAUUAAUAAACUUAGACCAAGGUUUCCGGCUGUGCCUUCCAACAAGAGCAUCAAGCUGAGGAUCGAGCUCCAAUCGAUAUUUGUGCAAGUACACAUUAAGUUCAUCUGUUCCAAGUACCUUGGCUAUUUUAACAAGCUGAUCAUGGUUGUCUUGGCCAUAGAAGAAAGGUUCUUUGCGAAAUAUCAUUCCAGCAAACAUGCA
rnacentral:misc_RNA from 1 species